rnacentral:rRNA from 1 species
GACGAACCGUGCGAACGUUGUUCGGAUUCACUGGGCUUAAAGGGCGCGUAGGCGGCUUGCCAAGUCGGGGGUGAAAUCUUUCGGCUCAACCGGAAAACAGCUUCCGAUACUGGCGAGCUUGAGUGGGGUAGGGGCGACUGGAACUUCCGGUGGAGCGGUGAAAUGCGUAGAUAUCGGAAGGAACGCCGGUGGCGAAAGCGAGUCGCUGGACCCCUCCUGACGCUGAGGCGCGAAAGCCAGGGGAGCAAACGGG